UUAAGCAGCAAUAACAUCUUGAGAAUGCUCAAUUAAAGCUCGUCAGAUCUCAGAAGCAAAAAAUGUUUGGUCCUGGUUAGUACUUGGAUGGCAGACCACUAAGAAUACCAUGUGCUCCAUUGG
rnacentral:rRNA from 1 species